UGUGCCAGCAGCCGCGGUAAUACGUAGGUGCGAGCGUUGUCCGGAAUUACUGGGCGUAAAGGGCUCGUAGUGGUUUGUCGCGUCGUCUGUGAAAUUCCGGGGCUUAACUCCGGGCGUGCAGGCGAUACGGGCAUAACUUGAGUACUGUAGGGUAACUGGAAUUCCUGGUGUAGCGGUGAAAUGCGCAGAUAUCAGGAGGAACACCGAUGGCGAAGGCAGGUUACUGGGCAGUUACUGACGCUGAGGAGCGAAAGCAUGGGUAGCGAACAGGAUUAGAUACCCUGGUAGUCAAGGGCG
rnacentral:rRNA from 1 species